AUUGAACGCUGGCGGCAUGCCUUACACAUGCAAGUCGAACGGCAGCACGGGUGCUUGCACCUGGUGGCGAGUGGCGAACGGGUGAGUAAUACAUCGGAACAUGUCCUGUAGUGGGGGAUAGCCCGGCGAAAGCCGGAUUAAUACCGCAUACGAUCCACGGAUGAAAGCGGGGGACCUUCGGGCCUCGCGCUAUAGGGUUGGCCGAUGGCUGAUUAGCUUGUUGGUGGGGUAAAGGCCUACCAAGGCGACGAUCAGUAGCUGGUCUGAGAGGACGACCAGCCACACUGGGACUGAGACACGGCCCAGACUCCUACGGGAGGCAGCAGUGGGGAAUUUUGGACAAAGGGCGAAAGCCUGAUCCAGCAAUGCCGCGUGUGUGAAGAAGGCCUUCGGGUUGUAAAGCACUUUUGUCCGGAAAGAAAUCCUUGGCUCUAAUACAGUCGGGGGAUGACGGUACCGGAAGAAUAAGCACCGGCUAACUACGUG
rnacentral:rRNA from 1 species